rnacentral:rRNA from 1 species
CUGUGGUCAGUUGAUCAUUAGGCAAUGUGGUGUUACGGUUGUUCCGCAAAGGUACUGCUCCACCCUAAGUCCAUCAAUGAGUACGGCGUACGGACAUGGCCCACAGAGGGUGAAAGGCCCGUGGGGGUGGAGUUUCAAGCAGGCCAGUACCUUUCUGGAUAGACCUUGGAGUCGGGUUGUUUGUGAAUGCAGCCCAAAGUGGGUGGUAAACUCCAUCCAAGGCUAAAUACAAGCACGAGUCCGAUAGCGAACAAGUACCGUGAGGGAAAGUUGAAAAGUACUUUGAAGAGAGAGUAAACAGUGCGUGAAACCGAUCAGAGGUAAACGGGUGGAGUUGAACUGCAAGCUCUGAGGAUUCAGCUGGUGAGUGUGGUUUGAGCUUGGUUAAAUCGGUUGGGCUCUAGAGUCUGCGUAGUAGCAGGCCCUUGCCUUUCGGGGUGAGGGUGCGCGGUGCACUUAUCAAGUGUUGUGCGCUCUAGACGUUCAUCGAGCCGACUCGCCAGUGCACUUUCUCAGAGUAGUCACCACGACCGGCACCGCUGUCUGACUGUUAUGGUUAAACCGUUCUUGCAUCGUCCCUGUGGCUUUGCUCGUUCGGGAUGGCAGGUAGAUCGUUGACUUGCUUGUGGCUUGCUGCAGGCAUUGUCUUCGACUGUAAUCAGCUGACCUUAUCAGUUCUGUGCAGUGUGUCGGAGACGGCGGCUUUUGUGUGUGCGUGCGUGCCUGUCUGGCUGACCUAUCCGGGUUUGGUUGUUAUGCUGCCUGUUCAUGCAGGCCUAAUGAUGGCUCGGAUUUGUUCAGUUGGCGGUUGCGUGCGUGACACGAUUCAA